rnacentral:rRNA from 1 species
UACGUAGGUCCCGAGCGUUGUCCGGAUUUAUUGGGCGUAAAGCGAGCGCAGGUGGUUUAUUAAGUCUGGUGUAAAAGGCAGUGGCUCAACCAUUGUAUGCAUUGGAAACUGGUAGACUUGAGUGCAGGAGAGGAGAGUGGAAUUCCAUGUGUAGCGGUGAAAUGCGUAGAUAUCACGCAGAACUCCGAUUGCGAAGGCAGCGCACCGGCGCCCUACUGACGCUCAGGCACGAAAGCGUGGGUAUCGAACAGG